rnacentral:tRNA from 1 species
GCGGAUGUGGCGGAAUAGGCAGACGCGCACGCUUGAGGGGCGUGUGGGAGACCGUGCGGGUUCGACUCCCGCCAUCCGCACCA